GACGAACGCUGGCGGCGUGCUUAACACAUGCAAGUCGAACGGAAAGGCCCUGCUUUUGUGGGGUGCUCGAGUGGCGAACGGGUGAGUAACACGUGAGUAACCUGCCCUUGACUUUGGGAUAACUUCAGGAAACUGGGGCUAAUACCGGAUAGGAGCUCCUGCUGCAUGGUGGGGGUUGGAAAGUUUCGGCGGUUGGGGAUGGACUCGCGGCUUAUCAGCUUGUUGGUGGGGUAGUGGCUUACCAAGGCUUUGACGGGUAGCCGGCCUGAGAGGGUGACCGGCCACAUUGGGACUGAGAUACGGCCCAGACUCCUACGUGACGCAGCAGUGGGGAAUCUUGCACAAUGGGCGGAAGCCUGAUGCAGCAACGCCGCGUGCGUGAUGACGGCUUUCGGGUUGUAAACCGCUUUCGCCUGUGACGAAGCGUGAGUGACGGUAAUGGGUAAAGAAGCACCGGCUAACUACGUG
rnacentral:rRNA from 1 species